CCCUUAGAUGUUCUGGGCUGCACACGCGCUACACUGAAGGGAUCAGCGUGUUCUUUUCCUGGUCCGAAAGGAUCGGGUAACCCGCUGAACCCCCUUCGUGGUAGGGAUCGGAGCUUGCAAUUAUUCUCCGUGAACCAGGAAUUCCCAGUAAGCGCAAGUCAUAAGCUUGCGUUGAUUACGUCCCUGCCCUUUGUACACACCGUCCGUCGCUACUACCGAUUGGACGUUUUAGUGAGGAUUUUGGACUGAGCCAAUGGUGGUUCACACCACUGUUGUGCAUGGAAAGAUCUCCAAACUUGAGCGUUUAGAGGAAGUAAAAGUCGUAACA
rnacentral:rRNA from 1 species